AUGGCGAACAAUCCAUAAUGUUUUACUAAUUAACUACGUGGCCCAACGAAGAUGACUUAGAUGUAUGGAAAUUAAACUCGAAACAUAAUUUUAAGAUAUAUUUUUGUUUUUUUGAAUUUUUUUUUUAAGAUAUGUUUAUCUUUAACGUUUCGUAUACUGGCACCGAAUUGGGUCCGGCGAGUCUAUAUCAACGUCGUCACAAUACUUGCAGUUUUUUAAGUUAGACUGAUCAUGUAUUCAUAUACUCCAUGUGACAUAACGGGGAUAGAGCUAGCUAGCUUAUAAAAUAAUUACUAUGUAGUAUACAUAUAUGACAUAAAGUUUCACAUAAAAUGAGGAAAUAGGAAUCUUGUAAAGUUUAUGUAACUAAUUAGCAUAUUAAGAAAGAUGCGCUUUUUCGGAAGUGCAUUUUAGUGCGCAAGAAUUUUCUGCACUUAAUUUUUGUUCAGUGAACAAGCAAAGUCUCAUCCCACCCACGUUAAAAAGUUGUAUUUCAUUUUCAUGCAAAAAUUUAAAGAAGUAAUACAAAAACAAAUUACGUAAGUGUUGAGAUGAAGAGAUCAAGCUAUAUGAAAGAAGGAUAUCAAAGGCACCAGACUUGAGAAGUUAGGCACCAGACUUGAGACUGUUGCUAAGGCACCAGACUUGAGAAGUUAGGCACCAGACUUGAGACUGUUGCUACAGUACUCGGCCCAGAAAGGAAGAAGCCCAUGACAGCCUUUCUCAAGCUCUUAAAACCCCUGUAUCCUCUCUAUAUAAACUUUAUAAUCUCUUCAUUAAGAUUCAAGCAAGAUAAUAAAAAGUCUCUGGUCAUCUUUGAAUUCUCUCUCUAGCCUUUAAUCUCAUUUCCAAAUCUCAUUAAUCUCCAAUCUCUAAUCUCUAAUCUCUUUAAUAAUCCUCUCAAAUCUCUUUCUAAUCUCAUUUAUUAUUCAAGAUAUCUAGAAAUCUUAUGGUAUCAGAGCCUGGGUGAAUGUUCUUGAGUUCUUGAGUGUUCUUGAGAUUAUCCAAGGCUAGAUCUUUGAAAAUCUCAAGAAAGUUUCUGUUGGUGUUUUUACUGAAGAACUAGCCUAAAGCUGGUUUCUUUGGUGGUUUGGAGAGCUCAGCUCCGUGUUCAAGCUUAAAGGUCAAGUCUUUGAAGUGUAUUGGUGCUUUUGUGUACAAACUGAGAGGUCUUUGAGGUGUUCUUAAGGAUCUAAGUGAAAAAGUUCAAGUCUUUUCAAGCUAGUGGGUUACUAGAGUCAAGAUUGAAGCUUUUUGAAAGAUGGAAGAUAGUGGUGGAGUCUACAUGAAGAUUGCUACCAAGUUCAAGGGAAACAACUACCUUGUGUGGUCUAGGAUGGCCAGGAAUGCUAUUGGAGGCAAGGGAUUGCUCAAACAUCUCACAUCCAGUGUGAUUCCAAAGCAAGAGAUCAAAGAAAAGGAGGAAGAAGAGGACGAAAGUGAGACUGCCUAUGAUAAAUGGCAACAAGCUGAUUGUAUGGUGAUUAAUGCUCUUCUUGCCUCCUUGGAUCAGAACUUGAUGGAUGCUUAUAGCUACUGUGAUACAGCUAAAGAACUUUGGGAUACAUUGAAGCAAAUCUAUGGAAACACCUCAAAUCUCAACAGGGUCUUUGAGGUGAAGCAAGCUCUCAAUAGUCUAGUACAAGAAGAUAUGGACUUUGAGAAGCAUUUGGGCAAGUACAGAGCACUGUGGUCUGAACUAGAGAUUUGAGGCCAAAUACCAUUGAUCCAAUGGAGCUUAACAAGAGAAGGGAGCAGGAUAAAGUCUUUGGACUGCUUCUCACUUUGAAUCCAGCAUAUGGAGGGUUCAUUCAGCACAUGUUGAGAGAUGAGACUCUACCUAACCUAGAAGAGGUGUGUGCUAGGAUCCAAAAGGAAUAUGGGAACAUGGAGCUAUUUAACAAGAAGGGAAAGGAGCUAGCUUUGGCAAAUCAAGCAGCGCAAGCUCAAGGAGAUCAGGGAGAACUUGCACAAGCUAACAAGGCCAUCCAUGGCAAGUAUGAGAAGUUUGGUGGGAGUUGUGAUCACUGCAAGAAGCAAGGCCACAAGAAGAGCCAAUGCUGGAUCCUACAUCCUCAUUUGAAGCCAGCCAAGUUCAAAGAGGCCAAAGCUCACAUGGUGGAGAGUAGUGGUGGUGGUGCAAGCAAGGAACAGGCUGGAGAGAUGGAUAAUGGGAAGUCUUUGGUGGCUUAUACUGGUGGUCCUAGUUCUAGAGGCAGCACUAGUGGUGAUGAAUACUUGAAGAGAUCAGACUUGGAUGUUCUCAUCAAGCUCUUCAAGGAACAUGGUAACACCCUUGCAUACUCUCAUGGAGCUUCUAUGAUUGCUAGAACUGAUAGGUUACUAGAGGACUCAUUUGACAUGUAUAAUCAUCUUAGAAAGGGUAUCUUUGAUAGGAUUGAUCAUGCAUAUGAUUCUGCCCAUGCAUAUAAGCCCUCUAGUAUACUAGCGCAUCUAGCUAACUCCACAUCUAGUUCAUAUAAGCCUCUCAUUGUUGAUUCUGGUGCAUCUCAUCACAUGAUAAGUGACACUAGAUUGAUUAACAACAUUGAACCUGCUCAUGGUAAUGUGAUGAUAGCCAAUGGUGCUAAAAUUCCUAUUAAAGGAAUAGGAGAGCUCAAGCUAUUUGAUAAAGAUUCCAAAGCGCUUUAUAUGCCUGAUUUUACUUCUAAUCUUCUUUCAGUUAAGAAGUGUGCUACUGAUCUGAAUUGUAAUGUCAUUUUCAGCCCUAACAGUGUAAAAUUUCAGGAUAUUGAAAGCCAUAAGGUGCUUGGAAGUGGAGUUACCAAGGGAGAUCUUUAUGUGCUAGAGAAUUUGAGCUUCUCUGCUCCUAGUUCAAAAUUUAGUUGUUCCUUUUUUUCUGCUUCUACUAGUCUAAGCAAGAAUGCAUUGUGGCAUGCUAGACUAGGACACCCUCAUAAUAAAGCUUUAAAACUGAUGUUGCCAGGUGUUUCUUUUGAGAAUAAUGAUUGUGAAGCUUGUAUUUUAGGCAAGCAUUGUAAAACUGUUUUUCCAAACUCUUCUACUAUUUAUGAAAAUUGCUUUGAUCUUGUUCACUCGGAUGUUUGGACAGCUCCCUGCUUAUCUAGGGAAAAUCAGAAGUAUUAUGUCACUUUCAUUGAUGAAAAAUCCAAAUACACCUGGUUAACUUUAAUUCCAACCAAAGAUAGGGUGCUUGAUGCAUUUAGAAACUUUCAAACUUAUGUGAUUAACCAAUAUCAUGCCAAGAUUAAAGUUUUCAGGUCUGAUAAUGGAGGAGAGUACAUAAGCAAUGCAUUCAAGCAACACCUAUCUGGCAGUGGGAUUCUUCACCAAACUAGCUGUCCAUACACUCCUCAACAAAACGGUGUGGCUGAGAGGAAGAACAGACAUUUGAUGGAGGUCGCUAGGUCCUUGAUGUUUCAAGCCAAUGUCCCAAAGAGAUUCUGGAGUGAUGCUGUCGUUACUGCUUGCUACUUGAUCAACAGGACACCUACUCUUGUGCUACAAGGGAAGUCGCCAUUUGAGGUGCUCAACAAGUACAAGCCAGUUCUCUCACAUCUCAAGGUCUUUGGGUGCUUAUGCUAUGUAAUGGUUCCUGGUGAGUUGAGAAAUAAGCUAGAAGCAAGGAGCUCCAAGGCUAUGUUUAUUGGAUACUCUACCAGCCAGAAAGGGUACAAGUGCUAUGAUGAAGACACUAGGAGAGUGAUGAUCUCUAGAGAAGUGAAGUUUGUGGAGGAAAGAGGGUAUUUUGAAGAGAAGAACCAAGAAGAUCUGAAAGAUUUGGCUUCAGAUAGAGCAACAGUCUUGAGAACUAUACUGGAGAAUCUUGGUAUCAAUGUGAACCAAGGAGGUGGUAGUGCACCAAGGGAUGCGCCUACUACAACAACAAAUGGAGGUCACGAAAGUGCACCAGUGAGUGCACCAGUUACUGAUGGAGUUCAUGUUCCUACUCUUGAUCAUGAGGGGGGGAAUGAAUCAGAGACUCUUAACCAAGGGAUGGGAGAGAGUAGUUCAAGUGGUCAAGAGAGUUCUAGUUCUCAUGAUCAGAGUGGUGAUCAAGGUGUGGAGCCUAUGAAUCAUCAAGGAGAAGCUGAGGCUAGUGGUGAUCAAGGUGUGGAGCCUGUGAAUCAUCAAGGAGGAGCUGAGGCUAGUGGAGAUGAUGCGCAAGAAGAGGACAAUGUGGAAGAGCCAGAACCUGUACAAGGUCCCAUGUUGAGGAGGAGCACACGGAAUAGGAAGCCUUCCAAAUGGGUAAACACGAGAGUGUACUACAAUGCCCAGGCUGUGGAACAUUCUUCUCAAGCUGUGUGUUCUUUUGCUCAAUAUCCAGAAGAGCAUUGUGCAUUUCAAGUGAGCUUGGAUCAGAGUCAUGUUCCAAGAAGCUAUGAAGAGGCAAUGCUGAUACAAGAGUGGAGAGAUUCAGUUAAGGCUGAAAGUGAUGCUAUGAUCAAGAAUGAGACAUGGUAUGAGAGUGCAUUGCCAAAAGGGAAGAGAGCUGUUUCUAGUAGAUGGAUCUUCACCAUCAAGUAUCUUCCAAAUGGAGAGAUAGAUAGGCGCAAGACAAGGCUUGUUGCAAGAGGUUUCACUCAAACAUAUGGAGAGGACUACAUUGAUACAUUUGCUCCAGUUGCUAAGCUCCAUACUAUCAGGAUUGUGCUCUCUUUGGCUGUGAAUCUCGAGUGGGAUCUUUGGCAAAUGGAUGUGAAGAAUGCCUUUCUUCAAGGAGAGCUAGAAGAUGAGGUUUACAUGCAUCCACCACCUGGUCUUGAGCAUCUGGUGAAGAAAGGAAAUGUAUUGAGACUAAAGAAAGCUAUCUAUGGUCUCAAGCAAUCUCCUAGAGCUUGGUACCACAAGCUGAGCACUACUUUGAAUGGAAAAGGAUUCCGCAAAAGUGAGCUUGAUCAUACUCUCUUCACUCUCACUUCUCCCUUGGGUAUUGUUGUUCUCCUUGUGUAUGUUGAUGAUAUCAUCAUCACUGGUAGUGAUAAUGAUGGUAUCAAGGCUACCAAGGAGUUUCUCAAAUCUGUUUUUGAGAUUAAAGACUUGGGAGAGAUGAAAUACUUUCUUGGCAUUGAGUUGUGUAGAGCCAAGGAAGGUUUGUUCAUCUCUCAAAGGAAGUAUACACUUGAUCUCUUGAAAGAUGCAGGUGCUUAUGGAGGAAAGACAGCCAAGAUGCCCAUGGAAGAUGGGUACAAGGCGCCACGUGAGGGGGAGCUUGAAGAUAGCAAGCCUUUUCAUGAUCCAAAGCUUUAUAGAAAGCUAGUGGGUAAGCUCAUCUACUUGACCAUCACUAGACCUGAUAUUUGCUUUGCUGUGAAUCAGGUGAGCCAGCAUAUGCAAGCUCCAAGGGAGCAUCACUGGCACAUGGUGGAGAGAGUGCUCUUGUACCUGAAUGGAACACAAGAUCUUGGAGUGUGGAUGGGCUGCAACAGAAGCACUGAAGUGGUGGGCUACUGUGAUGCAGAUUGGGCAGGAGAUAGGACUGAUAGGAGAUCAACUACUGGCUACUGCACAUUCAUUGGUGGUAACUUGGUUACUUGGAAGAGUAAGAAGCAGAAGGUGGUUUCAUGUUCUAGUGCAGAAGCUGAGUAUAGAGCCAUGCUGAAGCUUACCAACGAGUUGGUGUGGAUCAAAGGGAUCCUGAAGCACUUGGAGAUUGAUCAAGCUACACCAAUGACCAUGCAUUGUGACAACCAAGCAGCAAUCCACAUAGCCUCCAACUCAGUCUUCCAUGAGAGAACCAAGCACAUUGAAGUAGAUUGCCACAAGGUGAGGCAAAUGAUUGGUCUUGGAGUGAUUCUACCUUGCUACACCAAGAGUGAAGAUCAGUUGGCUGAUGUGUUCACUAAGGCUGCGCGGCAAAAGACUAUGGAGUCCAUCCAUAUCAGGUUGGGACUCAUAGAUCUUCGCAAGAGAAACUAAUACCCCUUACCAUGAGGUCUUUACUCUUUUUCCCUCAUCAAAGUUUUGUCCCAAUGGGUUUUUCUUUGGUGAGGUUUUUAAUGAGGGAGAUCUCAUGGCUUCCAAGCUUGACUUGUUCCACAUGGUCAAGCUUGAGGGGGAGUGUUGAGAUGAAGAGAUCAAGCUAUAUGAAAGAAGGAUAUCAAAGGCACCAGACUUGAGAAGUUAGGCACCAGACUUGAGACUGUUGCUAAGGCACCAGACUUGAGAAGUUAGGCACCAGACUUGAGACUGUUGCUACAGUACUCGGCCCAGAAAGGAAGAAGCCCAUGACAGCCUUUCUCAAGCUCUUAAAACCCUUGUAUCCUCUCUAUAUAAACUU
rnacentral:lncRNA from 1 species